rnacentral:rRNA from 1 species
AUGUGCAGAAGCUGUCUGUUUUACAGUGUGUGUGACAUUGCAAGAGAGUUCGAUUCGGACAAAAAUACCAAGAAUUCUGCAUCACAACAUGUCCCUCAGAUUUCAGUUUCAUCGCAGGCUAAUGCCGCGGGCUCCAAAGCCGGCACUGGGGCGUGUCUGGGUGACCGAAAGAAGUGGCGAGGCGUGGCGUGGCCAUGGCAAAAGUGCGGCGCGACGGCGAGGAGUAGGACAAGGACGGAGAGGCAGACAUCAACAAGGCCCAGCCCUAGGUCAGUGGCAGAGCUUCAGCGGAAGCAACGGCUGACCCAGACACGGGCCUUAGCACCCAGAACAGAGAAGCCAGCGCCGCAUUAG